UCGGUGGGCCACAGCGUGCGG
rnacentral:misc_RNA from 1 species